CCCAAGGAAAACCUCCAAAGAAGCAAUGUAGACAUAUUUCCAUUUCUUUAUUAGAAAGAGGCCUCUACGCUAUAGCCACCUCUCUCCAUUACUUUACACAUUUUUCUUUUUUUCUUUUUUUUUUUUUUCCCCUUAGAAUACUGUACAGCUGACACAAAAAAAAUCCCAAGGCAGGAAAAUACAAACUGGCAUAUUUAAUCAAAACAAGCUCAUAUGAAAUAACAAGCGAAGUGAUAUAUCUGUCAAUGGUUUUAAUUACAGUACAAACAAUAUAAAUAAAGCGUCAUUGAGUCAUCGUGAAACGUAAACUCGCUGAAUGAGGUAAUAGAAAACAACCGAAAGAAAAAAAAAAAAAAAAAAACCCAUCUCUGGAUAGACCCCGGGCUACUCUCCCAGCUUCUAUACACGGCUAUUUACAGAGAGAAAUGCGCUAGAAUGCGCCGCACCCAGGCCUUCCCUGGGACCUCCCCAGAAUGCCUCUUGGUCGUCACCUCUGACCUGCUCAGGCUUCCCUCUCGGUAACACACCCAGCCACAAGAUGGGAACCCGGUUCCAAGUCAGGGGCAGGAGAGCAGGGGUCUGUCUGGGGCAGGAAGCCACUCCCUGGGACCCGCGUGGUGGUGCCAGCGUCUGGCAUGGCCGAACACCAGCCCUCCUGGGGCCGCCAGCCCGCACGCCUUUGAUCAAGGGCGCACAGCAUCGCUAGUAUUCGGGUGCUAAGCCAGGGCGAGGGCAGGAGCCUCAAGAAUUUGCUGUAUUUUAGACACAAAAACCUGGUUGAAGGAGAGAAACUGUGCUGCUUUUCAACGUUUAGAGGAGGCGUUAUUUCUAAGACCAAGAUGCAUGAACGGCCAUAAAGCAGUUUCAAAGGGUACCCUCUGCCUAGCCACUCGAGUCCAUCAGCACGCCUGUAAUAGCCCUGGAGAGGAAGGGGCCGGGACCCCGGGGUGGGCCUGGGAGGGGCAUGAUGUGCUCAUGUGGCCAGUGACAGCGGCCCCCCGGGCUCUGGCGUCUGUCCUCCCAGAGAGAUGUGCCUUUUCCCCAUGUGGCUCAACGCACGCUCAGCUGCACCCCCGAGUACACUGGGCUGCCCACCAAGGUCUCUGCACAAAGCCGGGCCCUCAGGGUUUCUAACACAGGCAUCCAUGGGGGAUGGGGAGACCCAGGACAUCCUUCGUCCAGCCCCCAACAUCCCUGUAACUUCCACGAGCCAGUGCUGAGUGUGAGCCUCCAGGGGUUGGGCAGUCUUUUCGUUUUACAAGGGUAUCUGAACCCGCUCAGACGUUAGCUUCCGGGUUGGCGUGGAUGCUGCCUGGCAGUAGGGAGACGGGGGGACAUGGUCCGAUUUAGGGGUGACUGUGCCCAACAGCGGGUGCGUGCGCUGAGGGGGUCUGCUGCACUUCAAAGAUCCCCCAGCCCUCCCGCAUCUCGUUUGGUUCCUUUCUUCCAUCUGCAUCUCAAGGUCACGGAAUGCUUACUGACUCUGAAAUCUUUAUCAGUGCUAAAUGCUCAAGGACAGGCAAGGCUCUCCCCUAUUCCUUGACCAAGACCCUCAGGGGGUCCCUCUUGACAGAUGCCAGUCAGACUCAACAGAAGACAAGCCUCAAGCCCACCUCUCACUCACACGGGCACCCUGCCUCACCUUGCACACAGGCAGCACCUGCCUGGUGCUUGGUGUCCCGGGGCUGGGGACAGCCUUCAGGACCACUGCGAGCCUCUGCUGGGCACGCCUGCCCCAACCCUGCCCUCUCUUUGGUACCGAAGGCCUUUUUUUUGGAUGGGAUGAAGGCCUCAGAUAAGGACAUUUUAACCAAAGAGGCAAAAACCCCCAAACCAACUGCGGUCAACAAAAAAAGCAACGCAUCCGAAGUAAAACGCGGGGAGGAAAGGUUUUCAAGUUCACGGUCAUGGCCGCCUUGCUUUGGGGAGUGUGCCUACUACACAGGUGAAACAAAUACGUCUAAAGCAUGGACUGAAAAAAAAAUCAUGGAUUAAACACAGACUUUCUUGUUUUACAGAAUCCCCUGCUGAUGAGACGUCCUCUAAUUUCAACUCGGACCAAAACCACAACAGCCAAACUGGAAAAGAGGGUUUGCUCUAUGUUUAAAAUCAGCAGAUACCUAAAAUGAGACAGGGAAUUUAUUCAUAUUAAAAAAAAAAUCUAUUUCAAGACAGCGUUUGUUUUCUAAGGGGAAGAAAAUCUGUGGUUUGGAGAUAAUGAUGUCUUAGGUGGCUGAGACAGACGGGGCUGCAAACCCUGAGUGGCAAUGUUUGUCUCUUGGACGUCACAGCAUCUUGGGGUCCUGGAAUGACUUCCUGGCAGUGACGGGAUUCAAAGGGCAUCUAUCCCAAGUGACCAAUCCCCGCCCCUCCCGGCUUCUCUCAUCUGCAUAACCAGAAGGAAUCUGAGGUCUUGACUGAUGGGUGACCUGAUUUAGAAACCUGAGCAUCAAAGGAGCCGGCAGCGCUGGGCAGCGCAGGGGGCAGGCCACGCCCUUCUCAGCAAGCCCUGCCCACACCUGAAGGCCCGCCAACCACCAGGCUUCCUGAGGGCAGUCACUGGGGGGCGGGCAGGGCGGCUGGUCCAAGGAGGCACGUCUGACUAACGGCUAAGAGAGGAAAACGCGAGUCUCCGUGCCAGAGGCCCUUAUGUAGCUUUUUUGGGGAAGGAUGAGGGUGAAAAUCACUCCGAGACACGACUUCACAACGUGAGACCCACGUAUGAGGAGGCAGUUGGAAAUAAAUUAUAUUUCCUGGGGAAGAAAGAUGUGUCUCUCCAGCACAUUUCUUUCUGUCUGAAUUCCUUCCUGACGGCUUUCUCAAUUCGUGCGCUUGAAGGACAUAAAUACAAUCCAGGGGAGUUCUGGAAAAGUCGCGAUGACCUUGGGGGGCGCUUGGAGGGGUGCAAACAGAGCAGGCUGAGGCGGAGGGGGCCGACUUGCCUUCCCACUGUGCUUUCUGAGCAGCUUCUGAGACCCGGCCCGGCUUGCUCCUAGAGGCCCUCCAAUGUGAC
ensembl:lncRNA